GAUGAACGCUGGCGGCGUGCCUAACACAUGCAAGUCGAGCGGAGAAUUGUUGCUUGCAACAAUUCUUAGCGGCGGACGGGUGAGUAACACGUGGGUAACCUGCCCUAAACAAAGGGAUAACAAUGAGAAAUCAUUGCUAAUACCGUAUAAGCUUACACUAUCGCAUGAUAGAGUAAGAAAAGAUUUAUCGGUUUAGGAGGGGCCCGCGUCUGAUUAGCUAGUUGGAGAGGUAACGGCUCACCAAGGCGACGAUCAGUAGCCGACCUGAGAGGGUGAUCGGCCACAUUGGGACUGAGACACGGCCCAAACUCCUACGGGAGGCAGCAGUGGUGAAUAUUGCACAAUGGAGGAAGCUCUGAUGCAGCAACGCCGCGUGAAGGAAGAAGGUUUUCGGAUCGUAAACUUCUAUCUACAGGGAAGAAAAAAAUGACGGUACCUGAGGAAGAAGCCCCGGCUAACUACGUG
rnacentral:rRNA from 1 species